CCUUGACAGAGAAUUAACUCUGACAUUUGCCAAGACAAGGAGAUUGAUAUG
rnacentral:ncRNA from 1 species